rnacentral:piRNA from 1 species
UGGAACUGGCCGAGGCUGGCUGCUGG